GAUGAACGCUGGCGGCGUGCCUAAUACAUGCAAGUCGAGCGAACAGACGAGGAGCUUGCUCCUCUGACGUUAGCGGCGGACGGGUGAGUAACACGUGGAUAACCUACCUAUAAGACUGGGAUAACUUCGGGAAACCGGAGCUAAUACCGGAUAAUAUAUUGAACCGCAUGGUUCAAUAGUGAAAGACGGUUUUGCUGUCGCUUGUAGAUGGAUCCGCGCCGCAUUAGCUAGUUGGUGAGGUAGCGGCUUACCAAGGCAACGAUGCGUAGCCGGCCUGAGAGGGUGACCGGCAACAGUGGGACGGAGAUACGGCCGAGACUCCUAAGGGAGGGAGGAGUGGGGAAUAUUGCAAAAUGGGCGGAAGGCUGAUGCAGCAACGCCGCGUGCGGGAUGACGGCCGGCGGGUUGUAAAACGCGUUCGCCGGUGACGAAGCGUGAGGGACGGGAAUGGGUAAAGAAGCACCGGCUAACUACGUG
rnacentral:rRNA from 1 species